CGAACGCUGGCGGCAGGCUUACCACAUGCAAGUCGAGCGGGCACUUUCGGGUGUCAGCGGCGGACGGGUGAGUAACGCGUGGGAACGUGCCCUCUGGUUCGGAAUAACUCAGGGAAACUUGAGCUAAUACCGGAUACGCCCUUUUGGGGAAAGGCUUGCUGCCGGAGGAUCGGCCCGCGUCUGAUUAGCUAGUUGGUUAGGUAACGGCUCACCAAGGCGACGAUCAGUAGCUGGUCUGAGAGGAUGAUCAGCCACACUGGGACUGAGACACGGCCCAGACUCCUACGGGAGGCAGCAGUGGGGAAUAUUGGACAAUGGGCGCAAGCCUGAUCCAGCCAUGCCGCGUGAGUGAUGAAGGCCUUAGGGUUGUAAAGCUCUUUUAUCCGGGACGAUAAUGACGGUACCGGAGGAAUAAGCCCCGGCUAACUUCGUG
rnacentral:rRNA from 1 species